GACCUCGGAGCUCAGCUGGUAGGGCGUGCACUGUACAAAAACGUAGGUGGCGUCCAUACGUGGGUUCGAAUCCCACUGAGGCUG
rnacentral:tRNA from 1 species